AGAGAGAGACAUGCGCGCAUAUCAAUAAGCGGAGGAAAAGAAACUAACAAGGAUUCCCUUAGUAACGGCGAGUGAAGCGGGAAGAGCUCAAAUUUGAAAUCUUCAAGGGUUCUACCUUGACGAAUUGUAGUUUAAAGAAGUGUUUUCUGUUGGAGGUUUCGGUAAAAGUUCUUUGGAAUAGGACAUCAUAGAGGGUGAGAAUCCCGUAUUUGACCGUUACUUUUCAGCUGUGUGAUACACUUUCAAAGAGUCGGAUUGUUUGGGAAUGCAGUCCAAAAUGGGUGGUAAAUUUCAUCUAAAGCUAAAUAUUGGCGAGAGACCGAUAGCGAACAAGUACCGUGAGGGAAAGAUGAAAAGAACUUUGAAAAGAGAGUUAAACAGUACGUGAAAUUGUCAAAAGGGAAGCGUUUGACACCAGUGUUGUUUUUCUGAAAAUCAAUUAAAGAACUGUUUAUGCUAAGUUGUUUAGACUUUAUCAGCUAACUGUUUAGUUUUGAGCUUUUCUUUAAUGCACUUUUCAGUUAACAAGUCAACAUCAAUUUCUUUUGCUGUAAAAAAGCUUGAGGAAGGUGGCUUGAGAUUCGUCUUAAGUGUUUAUAGCCUCUUGCCUAUGCAGUCGGAGAGAUUGAGGUCUGCAGCGUAGAUCCUUCGGGGCUAAAUGCAUUUGUGCUAAGUUAUAGCAUUUUAUAGACAACUUGUUGACUAUGAUUUGUCUUGUAGCUUACUCGCUUAUGUUAUUUUACCUACGCUUAGGAUGUUGAGCGCAUGUCUCUCUCU
rnacentral:rRNA from 1 species